UACAGAGGUCUCAAGCGUUGUUCGGAUUCAUUGGGCGUAAAGAGCUCGUAGGCGGUUUUGUCGCGUCUGCCGUGAAAGUCCGGGGCUCAACUCCGGAUCUGCGGUGGGUACGGGCAGACUAGAGUGAUGUAGGGGAGACUGGAAUUCCUGGUGUAGCGGUGAAAUGCGCAGAUAUCAGGAGGAACACCGAUGGCGAAGGCAGGUCUCUGGGCAUUAACUGACGCCGAGGAGCGAAAGCGUGGGGAGCGAACAGG
rnacentral:rRNA from 1 species